rnacentral:rRNA from 1 species
GUUACCCCCCAUUGCUAAGCAUAUCAAUAAGCGGAGGAAAAGAAACCAACCGGGAUUGCCUUAGUAACGGCGAGUGAAGCGGCAAAAGCUCAAAUUUGAAAUCUGGUACCUUCGGUGCCCGAGUUGUAAUUUGGAGAGGGCAACUUUGGGGCCGUUCCUUGUCUAUGUUCCUUGGAACAGGACGUCAUAGAGGGUGAGAAUCCCGUGUGGCGAGGAGUGCGGUUCUUUGUAAAGUGCCUUCGAAGAGUCGAGUUGUUUGGGAAUGCAGCUCUAAGUGGGUGGUAAAUUCCAUCUAAAGCUAAAUAUUGGCGAGAGACCGAUAGCGAACAAGUACAGUGAUGGAAAGAUGAAAAGAACUUUGAAAAGAGAGUGAAAAAGUACGUGAAAUUGUUGAAAGGGAAGGGCAUUUGAUCAGACAUGGUGUUUUGUGCCCUCUGCUCCUUGUGGGUAGGGGAAUCUCGCAUUUCACUGGGCCAGCAUCAGUUUUGGUGGCAGGAUAAAUCCAUAGGAAUGUAGCUUGCCUCGGUAAGUAUUAUAGCCUGUGGGAAUACUGCCAGCUGGGACUGAGGACUGCGACGUAAGUCAAGGAUGCUGCCAUAAUGGUUAUAUGCCGCCCGUCUUGACACCCGGGAACACA